rnacentral:rRNA from 1 species
UACAUGUGGGGCAAGCGUUGUUCGGAAUUACUGGGCAUAAAGCGUGCGCAGGCGGUUCGUUGUGUCGGCGGUGAAAGCCCCGGGCUCAACCUGGGAAUGGCCGUUGAAACUGGCGAACUGGAGUGUGGCAGAGGGGGGUGGAAUUCCGCGUGUAGCAGUGAAAUGCGUAGAGAUGCGGAGGAACACCGAUGGCGAAGGCAGCCCCCUGGGCUGACACUGACGCUCAGGCACGAAAGCGUGGGGAGCAAACAGG